UACGUAGGGGGCAAGCGUUGUCCGGAAUCAUUGGGCGUAAAGAGCGCGUAGGCGGCCCUGUAAGUCCGCUGUGAAAGUCAAGGGCUCAACCCUUGGAUGCCGGUGGAUACUGCAGGGCUAGAGUCCGGAAGAGGCGAGUGGAAUUCCUGGUGUAGCGGUGAAAUGCGCAGAUAUCAGGAGGAACACCGGUGGCGAAGGCGGUUCUCUGGGAAUAUCCUGACGCUGAGGAGCGAAAGUGUGGGGAGCGAACAGG
rnacentral:rRNA from 1 species